AAAACAUUUCAUGCUCAUGACUAGAAAGAAUCAAUAAUGUUAAAAUAGCCAUACUCCACAAAACAAUUUACAGAUUCAAUGCUAUUCCUAUAAAACUACCAAUGAAAUUCUUCACAAAAUUAGAAAAAAA